rnacentral:rRNA from 1 species
GAUGAACGCUGGCGGCGUGCCUAAUACAUGCAAGUCGAACGGAAAAUUCUUGGUACUUGUAUCGGGAGUUUUUAGUGGCGAACGGGUGAGUAACGCGUUGGUGACCUACCCCAAAGUGGGGGAUAACAGAUCGAAAGGUCUGCUAAUACCUCAUGUUGUCAUCGUUUUUAGAAAGCGAUGAUUAAAGGAUUUAUCCGCUUUGGGAGGGGCCUGCGUCCCAUCAGCUAGUUGGUAGGGUAAUGGCCUACCAAGGCGUCGACGGGUAAGGGACCUGAGAGGGUGGCCCCUCACAAUGGAACUGAAACACGGUCCAUACACCUACGGGUGGCAGCAGUAGGGAAUAUUGCACAAUGGACGAAAGUCUGAUGCAGCAACGCCGCGUGUACGAUGAAGGCCUUCGGGUCGUAAAGUACUUUUCAGGGAGAUGAGAAAGGACA